rnacentral:rRNA from 1 species
GACGAACGCUGGCGGCGUGCUUAACACAUGCAAGUCGAACGGAAAGGCCCUGCUUUUGUGGGGUGCUCGAGUGGCGAACGGGUGAGUAACAGGUGAGUAACCUGCCCUUGACUUUGGGGUAACUUCAGGAAACUGGGGCUAAUACCGGAUAGGAGCUCCUGUUGCGUGGUGGGGGUUGGAAAGUUUCGGCGGGUGGGGAUGGACUCGCGGCUUAUCAGCUUGUUGGUGGGGUAGUGGCUUACCAAGGCUUUGACGGGUAGCCGGCCUGAGAGGGUGACCGGCCACAUUGGGACUGAGAUACGGCACAGACUCCUAAGGGAGGCAGAAGUGGGGAAUAUUGCACAAUGGGCGGAAGCCUGAUGCAGCAACGCCGCGUGCGGGAUGACGGCCUUCGGGUUGUAAACCGCUUUCGCCUGUGACGAAGCGUGAGUUGCGGUAAUGGGUAAAGAAGCACCGGGUAACUACGUG